CGCCUGUUUAUCAAAAACAUCGCCUCUUUUGAAACUACGAAUAAGAGGUCCCGCCUGCCCUGUGACUAUAUGUUUAACGGCCGCGGUAUUUUGACCGUGCAAAGGUAGCGCAAUCACUUGUCUUUUAAAUGGAGACCCGUAUGAAUGGCAUAACGAGGGCUUAACUGUCUCCUUUUUCAAGUCAAUGAAUUUGAUCUCCCCGUGCAGAAGCGGGGAUAGACCCAUAAGACGAGAAGACCCUAUGGAGCUUUAGACACCAAGGCAGCCCAUGUUAAGUACCCCUAGAUAAAGGACUAAACCAGGAAACCCUGCCCUAACGUCUUCGGUUGGGGCGACCCUGGGGAAAUAAAUAACCCCCACGUGGAAUGGGAGCACUGUCUCCUAAAACUAAGAGGCCCCCCUCAAAUGAACAGAACUUCUGACCAAUCAGAUCCGGCUACGCCGAUCAACGGACCAAGUUACCCUAGGGAUAACAGCGCAAUCCUCUUUUAGAGCCCAUAUCGACAAGAGGGUUUACGACCUCGAUGUGGGAUCAGGAACAUCUAAUGGUGCAGCCGCUAUUAAGGGGUCGUUUUGGCAACGAUUAAAGUCCUACGUGAUCUGAGUUCAGACCGG
rnacentral:rRNA from 1 species